rnacentral:lncRNA from 1 species
CACCUACCGAGCUAACUUACUCUUUAUAACGGCUUCCGGGGUUCCGUGACUUGCGAACCUGAUCCCUGGGGAUGAACGCUUUGGCUGUGUUCGGUCUUUUGCUACAACCACAAUUCUCAUGAAUGUAAGCUCCGUCUGCUUGUUUACUGGUCAUCCCCAGGGCCUAGAACACCUGGCACAUGGAUUGAACAAGCAGAGCCGAAUGACGGUGGAAAUACACCUCAGGUGAUCGCCCAGCUCUUCUCUCACCAGUCUGUCAUCCCAAACUCUGCUACUUUUAACAUCCCCAGAGAAAAUCACUGGUUCCCAACCAAGAAGAAGUCUACUCAACAGCUUUAGCAUUGUUAUCCAACAUUUAGACCCUACCUCCUGUCAGACUAUCAUGACUAUUUGUGUUUGAAGAUUGUCCACGCCAUGGUCAUUUACAGUGACAACAAUCUUCUCCCACCCUACCAAAAAAAAGCAUUUCUAACAAAACCUUCAGACAGUUUUGCCUCAGGAUCAUACUAAGAAUUUCCACUUGUCUCGAUAAAUGUCACCUAAAUAUUAAAAUAUUUUGGCUUUGAUUUGCG